UGUUACCUUAAUUAGACUGCGAUUGAUUUCGGAAGCAGUUUUAACAUGUUUUGAUAAAACUUCUUGCUAGAAUUUGAUACUCACUGUUAUUUUUUUUUUUUAAAGAUUAUGUUUCUCAAGACAACUGUUGUUGCUGAUGUUUUAUUCAUGAAUAUACUAUGUUGAAAAUGCACAUGUAAUACUUUACGAAAAAUCAUGAUAAAGUUCAUUCCGACAAAGAGCCGGUCACAUA
rnacentral:lncRNA from 1 species